GGUUGACCUCGGAUCAGGU
rnacentral:rRNA from 8 species